CCUACGGGGGACAGCAGUGAGGACUAUUGGUCAAUGGGCGCGAGCCUGAACCAGCCAAGUCGCGUGAGGGAAGACGGUCCUAUGGAUUGUAAACCUCUUUUGUCGGGGAGCAAAAGACGCCACGCGUGGCGUUCCGAGAGUACCCGAAGAAAAAGCAUCGGCUAACUCCGUGCCAGCAGCCGCGGUAAUACGGAGGAUGCGCGCGUUAUCCGGUGUUAUGGGGUUUAAAGGGUGCGCAGGCGGACGAUCAAGUCAGCGGUAAAAUUGAGAGGCUCAACCUCUUCGAGCCGUUGAAACUGGUUUUCUUGAGUGAGCGAGAAGGAUGCGGAAUGCGUGGUGUAGCGGUGAAAUGCAUAGAUAGCACGCAGAACUCCGAUUGCGAAGGCAGCAUACCGGCGCUCAACUGACGCUCAUGCACGAAAGUGUGGGUAUCGAACAGGAUUAGAUACCCCUGUAGU
rnacentral:rRNA from 1 species